rnacentral:lncRNA from 1 species
CAUCAGGGGUGAUCUAAAAUUGCAAUCGUUGCUUCUUAAAUACCCAAGGGAUGACGUCACGUACCUGCCAAUGAGAUGCAUAUAUUCCUCUGGCAAAUAGGCACCGUCAUCCCUAUUCAAAGCAUGAUUACUCACAUGUAUAUGCCACGCUUCUAGGCAAAGUCUUUGACCAUAGCGAUUGUUUGUGGUAAUUACUUUAGAGUUUUCCCACGCAAUCUCGUGUUUGGUGUAACAUACAUGUUCGGCUAAAGCUGAUUUUCCCUUUCUCGUGGUAUUU